UACGUAGGGGGCAAGCGUUGUCCGGAAUCAUUGGGCGUAAAGCGCGCGUAGGCGGCCCGGUAAGUCCGUUGUGAAAGUCAAAGGCUCAACCUUUGAACGCCGAUGGAUACUGCCGGGCUAGAGUCCGGAAGAGGCGAGUGGAAUUCCUGGUGUAGCGGUGGAAUGCGCAGAUAUCAGGAGGAACACCAAUAGCGAAGGCAGCUCGCUGGGACGGUACUGACGCUGAGGCGCGAAAGCGUGGGGAGCGGACAGG
rnacentral:rRNA from 1 species